rnacentral:rRNA from 1 species
AACGAACGCUGGCGGCAGGCUUAACACAUGCAAGUCGAGCGCCCCGCAAGGGGAGCGGCAGACGGGGGAGUAACGCGUGGGAAUCUACCCAUCACUACGGAACAACUCCGGGAGACUGGAGCUAAUACCGUAUACGUCCUUCGGGAGAAAGAUUUAUCGGUGAGGGAUGAGCCCGCGUUGGAUUAGCUAGUUGGUGGGGUAAUGGCCUACCAAGGCGACGAUCCAUAGCUGGUCUGAGAGGAUGAUCAGCCACACUGGGACUGAGACACGGCCCAGACUCCCACGGGAGGCAGCAGUGGGGAAUAUUGGACAAUGGGCGAAAGCCUGAUCCAGCCAUGCCGCGUGAGUGAUGACGGCCCUAGGGUUGUAAAGCUCUUUCGCAGGUGAAGAUAAUGACGGUAACCUGAGAAGAAGCCCCGGCUAACUUCGUGCCAGCCGCCGCGGUAACAC